rnacentral:lncRNA from 1 species
AAAGAACCAAUCCUACCUAGAGUCGAAAUACUAACCCUAAAGCAAAACAUCUUCACACCACUAGGAACACUUGAAGAAGUUGAGUGGACGACAACCAAGCAACACCCAUAUAUCAUGCUCAAACCUCGUACCCCUAGUGUUACUGCCACCUUCACCAAACCCUCAAAGAAUCGAUCCAACCUAGAGUUGAGAGACUAACCCAAAAGCGAAGCUUCUUUCCACCACUAGGAACACUUGGAGAAGUUCGUUGGACGGUACCAAAUGGGGAAAGGAAAACAUGGUUGUCAUAUCUAUCGAUGAAGAGAUC